CACAAAACCAAGAUCGGAAGUGGUCUCCUAGUCUCCUACACAAGAUGGCCAUGGCAAAAUAUGCACACAUAUUUGUUAGUCUUUCGAUCCUUGUUCUUUGCGCCAGGGUGCAAGCCCAAGGGGAAAUCGGAGAGAGGCAAAUACACAACAUCACGGAGUACAUUCCAAUGGAGUACAGGAAAAUAUUUUUGCAAGAACCUUAUUCACCGGAGGAGAUUUCCUUGAAGCGGUGUUACCCGUGCCUCUGUUGCCCUAAGGAUGAGAAGAAACCAUGUUAUAACGCAACAUCAUGUUGCUGGGAGGUAGACUGCAACAGUCCCUCAAGUCCAAUAGGUACCUGCGGGGGUAUGCCAAUCUCCUGCACUUGUGACGGUAGUUGCAAGUGAUCAAUGUUUAGUCGCAUGGCGACUUAUGACAAUAAGAUAUGUUUUUUUUACAGUUGACAAUAAUAUAUGUUUGUCGUGAAUGUUUUGUCAUC